GUCGAAAGUUUGCGUAGUGGAGUUUCAAUAUCGUCCCCCACAAAUAAGCGGGUCAGUAAGCGGCGCAGCUCACGUUCUACCGUGCCGGAUAGUGAUGAUGUCGAAUCGAUUUCAUCGCACAUAAGCAAUGCUUCUGGUGCACCGAAACGCCGUGUGACGCGUAGCUCGGUGAAGGACAAAGAGGACAAUGACGAUGAUUUGGUGAGUGUUGCGAGCUCAGUUGGUAGUGAACGUACAUCUAAGCGGCGUUCGAAAGAGUCUAAAAACUCGCCGAAUACUACUUUGAGUACCAUUCAAGAAGAUGAAGCGGAAGAAGAAGCGGGGCGGAAGAAGCGAUCUCGACAGGCCAGAAAAAAUGCAUAUAAAUUGCAAGAAGAACCAUAAGGUUCAUAAGGUCAACACUUUUUUUAUUAAUUAAUAUUUUUGUUGUUGCAGUGUAAAACUGGAGUAAAAUACCAAUAAAGAGAAUAAACGUUGGAAAAAUUCUAGUACUAUAAAUAUA